GGCGGGUUCCGUGCUUCCCGGCAUGGCGGAACGCGGCGUGCCCCGAGCGGCGCACAGGCGGCGCGCACGGCUGCGGGGCACAAACCGCUCUUUGUCCUUCGCCUGCCCCUUCGGCAGCUCCCUGCACACUCCGGUGCCUGGAUGGAAGCCGAGACCGUCUCCAGUCCCAGCGUUUCCCGAUGGCUUUUGCUGAGCUGUGGCUCUUGGCGCGCUCGGUGCUGUUUUGUACAAGCCUACAGAGCCGCUCGUGAGGAGCUGUCGCCUCUUCGUUUUCACACCCCAGUGGCCCUUUUUUACCGUGUAACCAGGCUGCUUUAUUAACACAACUAUCCUGCCAAGCUCUCUGCAUGCCCACAUCGCAAAUUUCGAGUUUGCCUUCAGUGCAAACAGGUUUAUUUCCCGUGCCCUGACAAAUCAGUGUCUCACGUUCUGCCAUGCCCCUCACAAGUUAAUACAAGUAACAAUUACUCCUGGCUCACUGCUGGUACUGAAACCAGCUGCAAAAGGCUCUCCCUGUAUUCCUUCACAGCAAACAGAAGCUGAUGAGAUACACAAAAUGUAUAUUAAUUCAGAGAUGUAGCCUGUGAUGGUUUGAGUCAUCAUUUGAAAUAAAUUCUGCAGGAUUUCUGCAAAAAGUAUUGGGCUUCUCCAUGUAUGCAAUAUCAGGCAGGGUAGAAUUCCCAACUCUUUUCUUCAGACUGCCUGUAGCUAUUUGCUGGUUUGUCCUCUGAAAAACAAAUCUGCCCAUCCUAGUUUGUACUCUUAAAGAAGCCAAUCUGACUUGACCAGAACACAAUGAAACACAAUUAUGUUUUGGGUAGGAAAGGGAAAGGUCUUUUUUGCUAGAGGAAAAAAAAGAGUUAAGUGAAAGAAAAUAAUCAAAAUUCCAUUUCUGCUGAAUCCAUUUUCUUUUAUCAGGGAGCUGCUGAGCUGCCAAAUCAUUAUUUGCACUGAGGUACUAAGUUAUAUCUGCACAGCUCAAAAUCUGAUGUGGACUUUUUAAAAUUUUAUUGCUAGUUAUACAAAAGCCCUAAAACCUGCUCUUUCUACAAUCAGAACACAACACUAUGCAUUUAUUGGCUAAAUAAGCCUUCUCCUCACUGUUCUAAACCUACAUAGUGAUUCCAAAUUGCUGGGUUCAAAGACCCUGUCAAAGAAAGAUCAAUGUAGUUUGAUGGAUUUUAAAGCAUUAAAAAGAUUUCUCCACACACGUGCAGGGUUCCUAACGCAAGAAAUGCAGCUGACACAAGCUCUCUGGCCACACCCAGUGAGUACAUUUCUCUUUAUUUUGCAGUUUCAGGGGAUUAGAUACAACAAGCACAGGCCCAGCACUGCACAAAUCACACUCUCAGGACGAGAUCACACACCCCGAACACGUCACAGCAGAGAUUCCCAAAAGUGACACACAGAGGGAUCAAGCCUUUAGCACAAUGAGCUCAAACCACUCCAAAAACGUUGCAUUUUUGCCCAGAAUUUCAUGCUUUUCUUCUUAGAGCUAUUAUGCUUUGAGACACAGCAGAAGGGAAUUACAAAAGCACUCACUAGUGUCAUGAUCCAGCACAUUCCAGGGCAGGCACUCAACUCCUGUUCCUGCCAUCAGGAAGUGCCCCCAGUCAGAGGAGAUCACAGACCAAAGGUAAAAACUUUCCAGAAUUUUCCCCUUAAGACAACCAACUUCUCUCCAUAUCCACUCAGUUUAAAAAUUUUGCCUCCCUUCAAAGCACGAUGCCACAAAAAGUUGACAGAAUAACAGGAUGUCUUUGCCACGGUUCAUUUGCUGUUGUGUUUUAUUAGUCACUCUUACUUUUCUUAAAUUAUACUUUGUGGUUGAAUCUGAACCCAGAAAAUCUAGCCCCCACACACACCCAUACAGAACAAGAUUAAAAAAAAUAAAUCAACAACAAAAUGCAGAAAGAUAAUCUAAUAAUAUUGGCACAAAUACCUGCCAACACUCACAUUUUGGUUUCUGAUAUUUUUAUCUCUCUGAGACAGUGCUGUUCCAUGUCUUACAUGUUUUUGCCUCCAACUAAGCAUUCAGCAGCCAGCUCCCCUUUUCCUUCAUCCUGCAAGCAGCUGAGGAGAGGAGAUCCAGACCUGGAGAGAUAAAACUGCAGGAUACAGGGGAAAGGCUGCAGGACAGAGAUUCUGGGGAGAGGGGAUUGAGGACAGGAAUGUGCUGAACACAGCAACACCCCAGCACUCUGCAGGCUGGGCUGGAGAAG